rnacentral:rRNA from 1 species
CCUACGGGAGGCAGCGGUAAGGAAUAUUGGUCAAUGGACGAAAGUCUGAACCAGCCAUGCCGCGUGAAGGAUGACGGCCCUCUGGGUUGUAAACUUCUUUUAUAUGGGACGAAAAAAGGGAAUUCUUUCUCACUUGACGGUACCAUAGGAAUAAGCACCGGCUAACUCCGUGCCAGCAGCCGCGGUAAUACGGAGGGUGCAAGCGUUAUCCGGAUUCACUGGGUUUAAAGGGUGCGUAGGUGGGUAGGUAAGUCAGUGGUGAAAUCUCCGAGCUUAACUCGGAAACUGCCAUUGAUACUAUUUAUCUUGAAUUUUUUGGAGGUGAGCGGAAUAUGUCAUGUAGCGGUGAAAUGCUUAGAUAUGACAUAGAACACCAAUUGCGAAGGCAGUUCACUACGAAAUUAUUGACACUGAGGCACGAAAGCGUGGGGAUCAAACAGGAUUAGAUACCCUGGUAGUCCACGCCCUAAACGAUGGAUACUCGACAUCAGCGAUACACUGUUGGUGUCUGAGCGAAAGCAUUAAGUAUCCCACCUGGGAAGUACGACCGCAAGGUUGAAACUCAAAGGAAUUGACGG